rnacentral:snRNA from 1 species
GUGCAGCUGAUCACCGGA